rnacentral:rRNA from 1 species
UACGGAGGGCGCAAACGUUGCUCGGAAUCAUUGGGCGUAAAGCGCACGUAGGCGGCCGAUUAAGUCGGGUGUGAAAGCCCCGGGCUCAACCCGGGAAGUGCACUCGAAACUGACCGGCUUGAAUAUGGAAGAGGGUCGCGGAAUUCCCGGUGUAGAGGUGAAAUUCGUAGAUAUCGGGAGGAACACCAGUGGCGAAGGCGGCGACCUGGGCCAAUAUUGACGCUGAGGUGCGAAAGCGUGGGGAGCAAACAGG